rnacentral:misc_RNA from 1 species
UAUUUCCCCAGGCAAUUUGCCGCGCGCGCCAACGGCGCUCUCAACCUCUUGCACUUCGGCUGGGCGUUCUUGGUUCAAUACGGCAUUGGGAUCGUGGUCGGACAAUGGCCGUCUCAGGAGGGGCAUNNNNNNNNNCGUAUCAGGCCGCAUUCGGUCUCAGCGUUGCCCUUCAAACGGCCGCGUUGCUGUGGUUUGCGAUGCCGUGGAUACGUACGUUCGGCAAAAGUUUCUGCCGUCCGUUCGCGCG